rnacentral:rRNA from 1 species
AUCGAACGCUAGCGGGAUGCCUUACACAUGCAAGUCGAACGGAGUGGCGAACGGGUGAGUAAUGUAUCGGAACGUGCCCAGUAGCGGGGGAUAACUACGCGAAAGCGUAGCUAAUACCGCAUACUAUUGGAGCGGCCGAUAUCGGAUUAGCCAGUUGGUGGGGUAACGGCUGACCAAGGCGACGAGCCGUAGCUGGGUUGAGAGGCCGACCAGCCACACUGGGACGGAGACACGGCCCAGACUCCUACGAGAGGCAGCAGUGGGGAAUUUUGGACAAAGGGGAAAACCCUGAUCCAGCCAACCCGCGUGUGCGAUGAGGGCCUUCGGGGUGUAAAGCACUUUUGGCAGUUAAGCGGUACCUGCAGAAUAAGCACCGGCUAACUACGUGCCAGCAGCCGCGGUAAUUC